rnacentral:lncRNA from 1 species
GACCUCCGGGGAGGAGAGAGGGAUUGAAGGUUAAGUUGAUCUUCAAUGGCCAAUGAUUUAAUCAAUCAUGCCUGUGUAAUGAAGCCUUCAUAAAAACCUAAAAAAGGACGGGGUUUGGAGAGCUUCCUGUAAGCGAACCCGUGAAGGUUCCAGGAGGAUGGCGCACCCGGAAAGGGCGUGGAAGCUCCGCGCCCCUUCCCACAGACUUUCCCCCAUCCAUCUCUUCAUCUGGUGUUCAUCGAUAGCCUUUGUAAUGUCCUUAAUAGUAAACCGGAAAACUCUCUCUCUGCUGCUGUUCUCCCUCCUCCAGAUAUUUUCAUUUCUUCUGCAAAGUGGAGGACUAAAACUGCAGUUUUAGAGUGGAGGAAGAAGAGAAUCACCACAUAUCGUAUUUAGAGGUCCUGCAGAAAGGGCAGAGCGAGUUUCAUGUUUGAGUGCAGCGGAUGCAUGGGCAAAGCAUUACACAGCCGCUCCAUGGAAGUGACAAUGAGCCUUGUCUUUCACACGUAACUCCAGGAACCAGGGGAAACAAAACCAAUUCCACCCAGAGGUACAGACAAAGAAGAGCACCCUCCCAAAGGAGCCCGCAUGAUAAGUGGCCACGGCGAACAUCACUGUGAUCAGUCAGAAAGGCAGGCGAGUUAUUAGCUUAGCCCUGAACCUCCUACUUAAUGUAGAACCAGUGGUGAUGGUUAACAGACCCUGGCUGCAGUGACAAGCCUGGGACCUGCUCGAGGAAAUCCAAUUGAAAAGCAGCCAAGAGGAACAACAAGCUAGAAACAGAUGUUCCAGCUACCAGGAUGUGCACGCAUUUAACCUGAACAUGUAGUUGGGGUGGGAUGGUAGCAUUCGUUUCUAAAUAUAGUGAUUUCACUUCUUCCCCCAUAUAGAUAUUGUCAAGUUUAAUUAUAGCCAUCCACAUUAGUUUUGUCAAAUUUUCAGCAAUUUCUUUAAAAUAAGAAGAUGUCAGAAUGAUAACUGCUAUUAAGGGAAUUCAGGGUGUUUGGUUUAUCUACCCAGUCUUACUAAAACAUUUCAGUUAAAUCAUCCACUCUUAAACUCCAGUCUCAUAGCAAUUAAAAAUUAUCUUUUAAAAAA